rnacentral:lncRNA from 1 species
CGCCCGAAGGCCGGGGCGCCAAGUUCGUCCAGCGGAAAAAGGCCACAAAAACGGGUGGGCUAUAGCCUUGGGGGGUGGGGCUGGCUAACUUCGUCCGCUGGACUCGGAAUGGCGCGAGACUUUGCGAGGCGCCUCCGUCUGCUAAAAAUAGGCCGCGGGCACAGCCGCACCCAGAAAUAACUGCCCGAAGGACGGGGCGCCAAGUUCGUCCAGCGGAAAAAGGCCACAAAAACGGGUGGGCUAUAGCCUUGGGGGGUGGGGCUGGCUAACUUCGUCCGCUGGACUCGGAAUGGCGCGAGACUUUGCGAGGCGCCUCCGUCUGCUAAAAAUAGGCCGCGGGCACAGCCGCACCCAGAAAUAACUGCCCGAAGGCCGGGGCGCCAAGUUCGUCCAGCGGAAAAAGGCCACAAAAACGGGUGGGCUAUAGCCUUGGGUGGUGGGGCUGGCCAACUUCGUCUUCCGGACUCGGAAUGGCGCGAGAGUUUGCGAGGCGCCCCCGUGUGCCAAAAAUAGGCUGCGGUCACAGGCGCACCCAAAAAUAACCGCCCGAAGGCUGGGGAGCCAAGUUCGUCCAGCGGAAAAAGGCCACAAAAACGGGUGGGCUAUAGCCUUGGGUGGUGGGACUGGACAACUUCGUCCGCCGGACUCGGAAUGGAGCCAGACUUUGCGAGCAGCCUCCGUGUGCCAAAAAUAGGCCGUGGACACAGCCGCGCUCAGAAAUAACUACCCGAAGGCCGGGUCGCCAAGUUCGUCCGGCGGAAAAAGCCGACAAAAACGGGUGGGCUAUAGCCUUNN